CUUCACAGGACGAGGUGGCCGAGUGGUUAAGGCGAUGGACUGCUAAUCCAUUGUGCUCUGCACGCGUGGGUUCGAAUCCCGUUGUGACGU